rnacentral:lncRNA from 1 species
UGGAUGAAAAAUAGAAUUUGUCCGGCUCAGCCAAUAGGCGCUCAGGUCGCAAGGCCAACAUCGAACUUUGCGGUCGAGCUGAGGGGCGCACGAGCACUUCAGGAUAAUGUACUGACAGUGAAGAAAACUGUGUAAACUCCGAAAGUUGACGUUACUUAAUUUACCCAGACCAGUAAUGGAGUAACGUUAAAGAAUCAGUUCAGAAUGGCUUUUGACGGGCAUCAGAGCACUUUCACGAAUUCACUCUUUCCUGCAUACCAGCGUCAGGCCAGUAUAAAUAUAGGUGGUGGCAACAAUGGCGGCAUGGCCAUGCCCUUUGUUGCUAUCCCCGGUGUCUCACUGCAGGAACAGAGCACAGCAUCCAACAUGCCGUGGUCUCAAAAUGCUCAUGAUCCUUAUGGCCUUAUCAAUUGUGCCAAUAACAGCAGGUAUUCAGUUUUAACUAUGUUCAGGUUAAGUGUGUGAUUAUUCAUCUGUACACUAUCCUGCAGGAGUAGUUAGGGAUGUCACCAUACCAAAAUGUAGUAGUCGAUACUAAUACCAGCAAUUCUAUAUACCCAGUUUUAUACCACGGUAAAAGAUACAGCCCAUAACAUACAGCCCUUUUUUUAUGUUUGCAUUCCCCUGGACGCCCGGGGAAGAUCUCUGUUUGUCCUAAACACAUUUUCUA